GACAUGGGUUGGAAGAUGGCGUCUCCCACAGACGGUAAGAGCCGGCUUAGAGAUCUUUGCCUGCAGCCUCCUUCUUUGCUCUACUGGGAACAUCCACUCUGUCUCUGCCCCUCGAACAUACAUUUCUUUCUUGGGCUCUUCUCCUUUCCCUUUUAUUUUUUUUCUUGAGAUCCAUCGCCGUCUUCAGCUCACCGGUUCUUCACAACAGCUCCGGAGGUGCCCAGUUUCCCCGCUCUGUACCAGGCGUGUGGAGGAGGGCACUAAGGGAGGGACUCAUUCUGGGUAAAAGGACAGGGGGUCGCCCUGUCCCUUCCUUAUCUCUAUUUGGGCGAGGCUGAGGGUCGAGGAGGAGAUGUUACUGGAGGACGUGCCUUACUGUAGUUUUCUCCUUGGGGUAUCCCAUUGAAAGGAUCAGUUCUCUUCUGAUUGAGCGCACGAAUGGAACGAUUCUCACAAACCCUCGCAGGGGCUGCUGGCCGACCUCAUCUCGAUACUGAACCGCAAGAGAAACAUGAUCUCUCUCCUGUCUCCUCAGUUUGGGACCAUUGCCAUGGCAGCAAGAGAAGCGGGGGACGUUCUCGGCCCCUCGCCGUGAGAGUCGCGAGGAGAAUCAGUAUUGAGCUUUUAAGUGUUGUCUUGCACAGGGACAGAUCUGGAAGCAUCUUUGCUAAGUUUUGAAAAACUUGACCGUGCCUCACCAGAUCUUUGGCCAGAACAAUUACCAGGUGUUGCUGAAUUUGCAGCUUCCUUCAAAAGUCCUAUUACUAGUUCUCCACCUAAAUGGAUGGCUGAGAUAGAACGGGAUGACAUCGACAUGUUGAAAGCCAGAGAGAUGACACGGGGGAAAUUCCUCAAUAUUCUAGAGAAGCCCAAGAAGUAGCAGCUGCUUGUGGACAGGAUGUCCUGGGGUCCGAAACCAAGCUCCCUUCCCGGUGCACCUCUAACAAUGCACACCUCACUGCUUGCUUGGGAGAGGCCCAGAGGGUGUACCUCCAGGACUGCCCUCUCCCCUGCUCCUGGCACUCUACACGUCUGAGGACAUUCAGCAGCAAGAGAAGAAUCUGCUCUACCCAAGGAUCAUUGCAGUUACUCAAUCAGCUUUCAGACUUGAACCUUCUUAGCCUCAGAUAUUGGUAACAGCUGAGGGCAUAUCAUUCUUAAAGGUCAAAGUCCUGCUUUCUCAUUUCUGGAAGUGAUUCAGGAGCCCCAGGAUCUUACGGUUGAUUUGACUCAGUCAUGGCAGUCAGUUGUGACAUGUUGAUUGGAUGGGUUCUUUUGAAUUGUUCUUGAUCUCUUAGAAAGUGUUUAUGAUGUGAGGAGACCAGAGACCAAGUAGAUUCUAGACCAGACCGUGCAGCCUGACCUGUGAACUCUCCAGUAUAUACUAAGUUCCCAGAAUCCCCAGCUGGAGAAACCAGAAUCUUCUCGAAAUGUAUAUCUGUUUUUUAAAACUUCUAUACCUCUUAUGAUAGUCCCAUUUGCUUUUCAUUCAUUAUUUCCCAGCCCCACCUUCCAGUUCUGACUUCGGGCAGAGGGAUCCCUGAGUCCCUCCUGGAAUUAGCUUGUAUAGUGAAAGGCCCAUCCAAGGUUGUCUAAAGACCAAUGUGAAGGUGACAGAAAGGACUUUUGAGUUCUAAUUAAUCUGUUACAGAUUCAAGCAAGAAAGUCAGUAUAGCCUGAAAGACAAGAGAAACGGGGUGGUUUAUAGGAGUUCCCAUUUUGUUGAAAACUAGAAGCCCUAAUUGAUCUUAAAGGAACAUGCUAUGGGAUGGUGGGAUUGUCCCCUCUGACAGCACAUAUGAGAUAGUUCAUCUAUAUAAUAGAAACACACACACACGAAAGAGAAUCUUCUGACUUAAAUACAACUUUCUUGGAGUUCUUUACCACUUAUCUAUCUCUGUUAAAAUCUGAAAAUCUAGCCCAUGGGUAAAAUCUAUUAUAUGUGUUCUCCAUAUUUCUUGUAUAAGCCAGUUCCCAGCAUCUGAUGUUUUGAGAAGUGCAUGGAGUUUCCUAAACUUUGCACAAAAGAAUAUCCUGGGGCCAGGCGUGGUGGCUCACACCUGUAAUUCCAGCACUUUGGGAGGCCGAGGCAGGCAGAUCAUAGGUCAAGAGAUCGAGACCAUCCUGGCCAACAUGGUGAAACCUCGUCUCAACUAAAAAUACAAAAAUUAGCUGGGCGUGGUGGCGCGUGCCUGUAGUCCCAGCUACUCGGGAGACUGAGGCAGGAGAAUCGCUUGAACCCGGGAGGCAGAGGUUGCAGUGAGCCAACAUCGUGCCACUGCACUCCAGCCUGGGCGACAGAGCGAGACUCCAUCUCAAAAUAAAUAAAUAAAU
rnacentral:sRNA from 1 species